AUUGAACGCUGGCGGCAGGCCUAACACAUGCCAGUCGAGCGGAUGAAGGGAGCUUGCUCCUGGAUUCAGCGGCGGACGGGCGAGUAAUGCCUAGGAAUCUGACCGGUCGUGGGGGAUAACGUCAGGAAACGGGCGCUAAUACAGCAUACGAUCAGAGGGUGAAAGUGGGGGAUCUUCGGACCUCACGCUAUUAGCUGAGCCUAGGUCGGAUUAGCUAGUUGGUGGGGUAAAGGCCUACCAAGGCGACGAUCCGUAACUGGUCUGAGAGGAUGAUCAGUCACACUGGAACUGAGACACGGUCCAGACUCCUACGGGAGGCAGCAGUGGGGAAUAUUGGACAAUGGGCGAAAGCCUGAUCCAGCCAUGCCGCGUGUGUGAAGAAGGUCUUCGGAUUGUAAAGCACUUUAAGUUGGGAGGAGGGGCAGUAAGUUAAUACCUUGCUGUUUUGACGGUACCAACAGAGUAAGCACCGGCUAACUUCGUG
rnacentral:rRNA from 1 species